rnacentral:rRNA from 1 species
GACGAACGCGGCGGCGUGCCUAAUACAUGCAAGUAGAACGCUGAAGAGAGGAGCUUGCUCUUCUAGGAUGAGUUGCGAACGGGUGAGUAACGCGUAGGUAACCUGCCUUGUAGCGGGGGAUAACUAUUGGAAACGAUAGCUAAUACCGCAUAACAAUGAGUGACACAUGUCAUUUAUUUGAAAGGGGCAAUUGCUCCACUACAAGAUGGACCUGCGUUGUAUUAGCUAGUAGGUGAGGUAACGGCUCACCUAGGCGACGAUACAUAGCCGACCUGAGAGGGUGAUCGGCCACACUGGGACUGAGACACGGCCCAGACUCCUACGGGAGGCAGCAGUAGGGAAUCUUCGGCAAUGGGGGCAACCCUGACCGAGCAACGCCGCGUGAGUGAAGAAGGUUUUCGGAUCGUAAAGCUCUGUUGUAAGUCAAGAACGAGUGUGAGAGUGGAAAGUUCACACUGUGACGGUAGCUUACCAGAAAGGGACGGCUAACUACGUGCCAGCAGCCGCGGUAAUACGUAGGUCCCGAGCGUUGUCCGGAUUUAUUGGGCGUAAAGCGAGCGCAGGCGGUUUGAUAAGUCUGAAGUUAAAGGCUGUGGCUCAACCAUAGUUCGCUUUGGAAACUGUCAAACUUGAGUGCAGAAGGGGAGAGUGGAAUUCCAUGUGUAGCGGUGAAAUGCGUAGAUAUAUGGAGGAACACCGGUGGCGAAAGCGGCUCUCUGGUCUGUAACUGACGCUGAGGCUCGAAAGCGUGGGGAGCGAACAGG